rnacentral:sRNA from 1 species
UGGUUCGAGUUGAGCGAAAGCGAAACAGCGUUGCAUAGCAACGACCCGAAGGGUGAGGCCAAGGCCGAAUCAUCCUGCACGCCCCACCA